rnacentral:lncRNA from 1 species
UCAUUGAGCUGGUUGAUGGUUACGGUUAUUAAAUGGUUGAUAGAUUACGGUGGAUAUUCUCUAUUAGCUGAUGAUUUUCGCGUAGCGUCAGUCUGAAGGAGUGUUAUAAUAUUCUGCGCGACGUGUUGUCAAGUUUGUUAUCGAGUUUGCGGCAGUUUCCAAUUUUAUGCAUUAUUCUCUUAACACGAAGAGAGUCGCGUGCUUAAAUCGAUCAUUCAAAAAUGUCCCGUGUCAAAGACUUUUUGAAACAGCAUCGCUUUUACUUAAUAGCUGUUCCAUGUUUGACCGGGCAAUUUUGGUUAUGGGUUAAAAUACAACAAGAUGAACGUCUCGUACCCAGACACGAAGGGUCGUUGACCAAAGGCAGGGACAGUUAAGAAACAGAGAAAUAUUUUGCUAACUGCUCUCUAUCAGUUUGCAAAAAGCAGAGUAGGAUUGGAAUUACCGAUAUUAGCCCAACGUAUUCCUGAUGUUGUCUGUGAACCGGAGUAGAUUGAUUCAGUUGACUGCAAUGUCUUCAGAGAAGCUCAGAGAAGAUUUUCACCAUUGAGGCUUGAUGCUACUAUGACAACCUUUCAUCGGAUACUUCCUUAUUCUAUAGAGAAAACUGUUGACUAGAACGAGAAAAUUCAGGAAGCCGCAUUAUCUGAGGCUGUGUACUGAACUCUAUCAAUUGUAUAGAUUUAUGUGGCUAAUAAACUAGUUUACAACUCAA